rnacentral:rRNA from 1 species
GACGUAGGAGGCGAGCGUUAUCCGGAUUCACUGGGCGUAAAGCGCAUGUAGGCGGUUGGACAAGUCGUGUGUUAAAGCCCCUGGCUCAACUGGGGGAGGUCAUGCGAGACUGUGCGACUUGAGGGCAAGAGAGGCACGUGGAACUCCCGGUGUAGCGGUGAAAUGCGCAGAUAUCAGGAGGAACACCGGUGGCGAAGGCGGGUCUCUGGGCCGAUACUGACGCUGAGGAGCGAAAGCGUGGGGAGCGAACAGG